GCCGGUGUAGCUCAAUUGGCAGAGCACUCGCCUUGUAAGCGAAAGGUUGCGGGUUCAAGUCCCGCCACCGGCUCCG
rnacentral:tRNA from 4 species